AGCUGGACACAUUUUGUCGAAUUUGGAGGAUGUUUACGCUCGUACAGCGUCUAUGACGGGAGUAUCGGACAGUACCGUCUGGCAUAUUGCAAAAGAGGGCUCUAUAAUGGAAUAUUUCUAACUCCUGGAAGAAACAGAACAGGCCGUCUAAAAA